rnacentral:rRNA from 1 species
AUUGAACGCUGGCGGCAUGCUUUACACAUGCAAGUCGAACGGUAACAGGGAGCUUGCUCCGCUGACGAGUGGCGAACGGGUGAGUAAUGCGUCGGAACGUGCCGAGUAGUGGGGGAUAACGCAUCGAAAGGUGUGCUAAUACCGCAUACGAACUGAGGUUGAAAGUGGGGGACCUUCGGGCCGCACGCUAUUCGAGCGGCCGACGUCUGAUUAGCUAGUUGGUGAGGUAAAGGCUCACCAAGGCGACGAUCAGUAGCGAGUCUGAGAGGAUGAUCCGCCACACUGGGACUGAGACACGGCCCAGACUCCUACGGGAGGCAGCAGUGGGGAAUUUUGGACAAUGGGCGCAAGCCUGAUCCAGCCAUGCCGCGUGUCUGAAGAAGGCCUUCGGGUUGUAAAGGACUUUUGUCCGGGAGCAAAUGCUGGUGGCUAACAUCCACCGGAGCUGAGAGUACCGGAAGAAUAAGCACCGGCUAACUACGUGCCAGCAGCCGCGGUAAUAC